rnacentral:lncRNA from 1 species
GCAGGAGGAGCUGUAAUUCAGGAGGAUCUUUAGAUAUGGACCAUUUUGGCCACUAUAAGUAAGAGAUAGAUAGGUUUUAAGAGCAAGAUCUGCUAUAUAAAGAAGCCUAAUUGCAUGUCAAAUUUUAGGAGGCUAUAAUUUGAUCAUACGACACCUGAUUGAAAUGAUUUUUUGUUUUUUGAAUUUUGGUGUCUUUUCGAGAUCCAUAACUUUAGGCCAGCCCCUGAGGGAG